rnacentral:rRNA from 1 species
CAGAAACUCAAAGGAAUGACGGGGCCCGCACAAGCGGUGGAGCAUGUGGUUCAUCGACGCAACGCGAAGAACCUUACCUGGGCUAGACAACAGUGGACCGUCCUAGAGAUAGGAUUUUCCCUUCGGGGACCGCUGGUUCAGGUGCUGCAUGGCUGUCGUCAGCUCGUGCCGUGAGGUGUUGGGUUAAGUCCCGCAACGAGCGCAACCCUCGUACUUAGUUGCCACCAUUCAGUUGGGCACUCUAGGUAGACUGCCGGCGUUAAGCCGGAGGAAGGUGGGGACGACGUCAAGUCAUCAUGGCCCUUAUGCCCAGGGCCACACACGUGCUACAAUGGGCGGCACAAAGGGUCGCGAACCCGCGAGGGGGAGCCAAUCCCAAAAAGCCGUUCUCAGUUCGGAUUGGAGUCUGCAACUCGACUCCAUGAAGUUGGAAUCGCUAGUAAUCGCGGAUCAGCACGCCGCGGUGAAUACGUUCCCGGGCCUU